GGGGUUGUGGCUCAGCGGUAGAGCACUUGUCUAGCACAUGCAAGACCCUGGGUUCGAUCCUCAGCACCACA
rnacentral:tRNA from 1 species